GCAAUGGUGGUUCGGUGAUAGAAUUCUUACCUUCCAUGCAGGAGACCCAGGUUUGAUUCCCAGCCAGUGCA
rnacentral:tRNA from 1 species